GGAUUUAUCCCCAAUUCCAGGGCUCAGGGGAAGGGCUCUGAAGCAGGCAGGGCCCAGCAGCAUCACAGACACACACAGAGACAGGCUGGAGAUUUAUUCUCACUCACCACUGUGCCCAGUGCUACAAACAUUAAAAAAAUAACUCUAUAAAAGCAAGUUCUUCGCUCCUUUUCCAGUACAGCGGCGAUGGCAGAGCCUCCAACACGAGAACCAGUUGUACAAACCCCAAACCUGCUCGAGACAAGUCACAAUAUCAGCUUUCCCCCCCAAAAUUCAUCCAUCCAUGGGGGUUCAGGCACCCCCAGAGCUGUUCCUUUUCCCCUCUGGGAUCAGCCAGGACAUUCUGUUUUUGCUGAUGGAAGACUGGAGUAACCUGCCCUGGGAAUCCCCAGGAGUUUUGUGGAUAAUUGAGGGCUGGGGGAGGAAGUGGCAGGUACAGCCAAGCCAGCUCAAUCACCAGCCACCGAUGGAAGAAAUUGGGGUGGGAAACAUUGGCAGAGCUCAGGACUCGGUGUCACAGCACAAGCGAGGGAGUUUUCAAAAGUAAAUCCACGGAAAUCAACUCAAAUUGAUGUUUCAAAAAAAAAAAAAAAAAAAAUUUAAAUCCCCCCACGAGGAAUAAGGGGUGAACCAGCCUCAUGCAAAAAAAACAAAAAAAAAACCAACAAAAACCACAGAAAAAACCCCCUGUUCCUUUGAAGGAAACUUCCGAUCUGAAGUCAAAUUAGCAAUGAACUAAUUGGGAAAUGCUCGUUUGUCACAAGCCUUGAAGGCCAAUGUUCAUCCCUCCUUUGAGCCACUGGAGGAACAGAACUCACUGCUGGCCAGGAAAAGAAAAGCAAAGCUUCAAAGUUUGUUGGUUUAAAAAAAACCCCAAACUUUCAGGACAAUUCAUAUUCAGACACAACAUCCUCAAGUUCAGUGUUUUUAAACCAAAACACAUCUGUUACAAACAAAACAACUUUCCCAAGUUUCAAGUAUUAAAAAAAAAAUAAUAUUCCAAGCGAUCGCCUUCAUACUGGUACCUCAGAACAGGGAAAUAUUUUAAAUUAAACCUGGUAAGGCUGAAAAAUUCACUCUCGGGAGAAGGCAGGACCUCGCUCCUUAACCAUUAACAAAUUUUUAAAAAUAUUUCCAAUGAUUUGCUGACUGCAAGGAGGGAAAACUCCUUGUAAAGAGGAGCAGGAUUUGGGCUCUGGUUCUGCUGGAGGGGUGGCACAGGGAGAAGUUUGGGGACAGCCCUGAGGUGACAAAAGGCAGAGUGUCCCUGCCCUCACUGCUUGGCCGAUUGCCUGCCCGGCUUCUUCUCCUGCUGGCCUCUCCCACUGCCUGGAAUUCCUCGGCCACGGCCCCCAAACACACCUGUGGGGCACAAAGGGACAGCUGUCAGCACCAGCAAUGCCUCACAGCCACGUUUCACCCCAAAAAAUCCCUUAGUUUGGAGCCUCAGAAGCAGAAAUGCGACUUUCUGACUUCUCCUUUUGCAGCCCCAGACCUUUAUUUAGGAGGUGCAUAAUCAUUAAUCUGAUGGGGGGGGAUGAGUUUAA
ensembl:lncRNA